GAUGAACGCUGGCGGCGUGCCUAAUACAUGCAAGUCGAGCGAACAGACGAGGAGCUUGCUCCUCUGACGUUAGCGGCGGACGGGUGAGUAACACGUGGAUAACCUACCUAUAAGACUGGGAUAACUUCGGGAAACCGGAGCUAAUACCGGAUAAUAUAUUGAACCGCAUGGUUCAAUAGUGAAAGACGGUUUUGCUGUCACUUAUAGAUGGUUCCGCGCCGCAUUAGCUAGUUGGUAAGGUAACGGCUUACCAAGGCAACGAUGCGUAGCCGACCUGAGAGGGUGAUCGGCCACACUGGAACUGAGACACGGUCCAGACUCCUACGGGAGGCAGCAGUAGGGAAUCUUCCGCAAUGGGCGAAAGCCUGACGGAGCAACGCCGCGUGAGUGAUGAAGGUCUUCGGAUCGUAAAGCUCUGUUAUUAGGGAAGAACAAAUGUGGAAGUAACUAUGCACGUCUUGACGGUACCUAAUCAGAAAGCCACGGCUAACUACGUG
rnacentral:rRNA from 1 species